rnacentral:rRNA from 1 species
UACGGAGGGGACUAGCGUUGUUCGGAAUUACUGGGCGUAAAGCGCACGUAGGCGGAUUUGUAAGUCAGGGGUGAAAUCCCGGGGCUCAACCUCGGAACUGCCUUUGAUACUGCAAAUCUCGAGUCCGGAAGAGGUGAGUGGAAUUCCUAGUGUAGAGGUGAAAUUCGUAGAUAUUAGGAAGAACACCAGUGGCGAUGGCGGCUCACUGGUCCGGUACUGACGCUGAGGUGCGAAAGCGUGGGGAGCAAACAGG